rnacentral:rRNA from 1 species
UACGGGGGGGGGCAAGCGUUGUUCGGAAUUACUGGGCGUAAAGGGCUGGUAGGCGGCCAACUAAGUCGGAUGUGAAAUCCCCAGGCCUUAACCUGGGAACUGCAUCCGAUACUGGUCGGCUUGAAUCCGGGAGAGGGAUGCAGAAUUCCAGGUGUAGCGGUGAAAUGCGUAGAUAUCUGGAGGAAUACCGGUGGCGAAGGCGGCAUCCUGGACCGGCAUUGACGCUGAGGCGCGAAAGCCAGGGGAGCAAAGCGGG